rnacentral:lncRNA from 1 species
AAUAGGUUAAUUUUUUAUUAUAUUCAGAAUGAAAGGAUGUGUAGUAGUGCGGCUCAUUUCACUGUCAUAAUGUGGUCUUCUCAUGACGAGAAGUCGUGGUAGUAUAUGAAUAAAGACUCUGCGUAUCCAUGGUGCCAUGGUAUGCGUUUGAGGUGUUCGAAAAUGGACGUUAAGGACUACCACUGUUACGCAUAUACUGUGAAAAAAUAGAUAAAAAUGCAAGCUUUAUGUUAAUUUAUUGAUAAGAGACUUUGUGAAAAUAUAAAAAUAUUCUCUGCAAAA